GAGAUAAGCUCCUCAAGCAAACACAAUAUUAAAACAGAGGUGACACCAGAAACACAUACAUACAGCAAACAGACAUGAAGGCUCACUGAGUUCCAAGAAAGAGGAAACACAUAUAUACAGCGACCAACAGCUAGUUAUUUAAUUCGACGAGACUGACUCAUGAGCAAAACAGAUAUGACACACACUGAUAGAAGGAGGCAACAUAAUUAAACAGAGACGACAACGGCGGUAGGCACAUUCACAACAUUCUUACAACUGUGAUAAGAAGCUAGCUAGUAGAUAUGAUAUAUGCCCUAUGAUUUGGUUCUCUGCAAGACCAGGUACUAACUAGUUGACUUGUAUGCAGCAAGCUAGCUUGAUCCCUUGUGGCCAUCAUGAUCUUGUUUUGCCUUGUACUGACUAAAGGCAUCCCCUGCCAUUUUGCCGAUCAAAACUGCCCCCGUGAAUUUGAGGAAAUCAUUAAAGUAUACUGCCCGCUGACUUGAGCGCCUGCAGAUCAGGUGAUACAGUUAACUGGUAGGUGGUAGCAAUAAAAUCAAGAACAUGGGAUAGAUAAAGUAAUGAUUGGUAGGGUGGCCGGCUCUAAUUCCUAAGGAAGGCGAUGCUAGGAGCAUGAGAAAGUUUAGGCCAAUUCCAAGUUUUAAUAGAUCCUUUUAAAUCAUGUAGUGGAUGUCUUUUCUAGAAUGCUUGAUAAGGGUGCUAGUAACGGUUUAAUCAGGGGAUUUUGCCCUGGAUAGAUCAAAAAGAAAAAAGGUUUUUUUGUUUUUGUUUUAAUAUAUGCAUUAUUAGCCAGGUGAGGUGAAGGGGGAGAGAGAUACCAGCGGGGGUCAUCGGGUCUAGGUUUGACAUGCUGAGAGAGUUGUUUGAGCAAAAGGUUGUUUUUCCGGGUCACUACAUUGCCCUUAGCAGUGUAGUCAGCUUGCCAGGCAGCGAUUGUGUUGUAGAGGUCCUCUUUCUGAGCAUGGAUUUGAGCCAAGCGGAAGAUGGCAUCUUUCCUCUGAUUGGGCGUGAGGUCCUGCGGCAGGCAGUGUGUACAUUAGCAAAGGCAUUGGCCGGCCAGAAUCAUCAUCAUGCUAAUGCAUCUAUUGGCUCUUGUAUGCUUUUUCUAGAUAGCAAAGCUGUAGUAUAUUAGUAUUAGUAGUACUGUAUUAGCAAAGCUUGGGAGGGGAGGCGGGGGAGGAUGUUGAUUUUGCCGUACGUACACGGCCUGUGGUGGAAUCGACGAUCCGUGUGCUAGUGUACAGCGGACUACGCUCAAUGAUAGCCUCCGCCUCCGCCUCCGCCUCCGCCGCCGCUCUGGUUCCGAACCUCCUCGCCGCGUGGCGAAGCGCCGUGGCCAUGGCCUGAUCCCCGCCGAGCCUCUCCAAUC
rnacentral:lncRNA from 1 species